AUUGAACGCUGGUCUGUAUGCCUAACACAUGCAAGUCGAACGGUAACAGAGGAGAGCUUGCUUUCUUGCUGACGAGUGGCGGACGGGUGAGUAACGCGUGGGAAUCUACCCAGUAGUUGGGGAUAGCCCGGAGAAAUCCGGAUUAAAACCGAAUAAUAUCUACGGAUGAAAGGGUGCCUCUUCUUGAAAGCACUUGCUAUUGGAUGAGCCCGCGUUAGAUUAGUUUGUUGGUGGGGUAACGGCCUACCAAGACUGCGAUCUAUAGCUGGUUUGAGAGGAUGAUCAGCCACAUUGGGACUGAGACACGGCCCAGACUCCUACGGGAGGCAGCAGUGGGGAAUAUUGGACAAUGGGCGCAAGCCUGAUCCAGCAAUACCGCGUGUGUGAAGAAGGCCUUCGGGUUGUAAAGCACUUUUAUGUAGGAAGAAGGUGUGUGUGUUAAUAGCACAUGCAUUUGACGGUACUACAAGAAUAAGCACCGGCUAACUCCGUGCCAGCAGCCGCGGUAAUACGGAGGGUGCGAGCGUUAAUCGGAAUUACUGGGCGUAAAGGGUACGUAGGCGGCUUGAUAAGUCAGAUGUGAAAUCCCCGGGCUUAACCUGGGAACUGCAUUUGAAACUGUUAAGCUAGAGUGAGUGAGAGGUUAGUGGAAUUCAAGGCGUAGCGGUGAAAUGCGUAGAGGUCUUGAGGAACAUCAGUGGCGAAGGCGACUGACUGGGCACUACACUGACGCUGAGGUACGAAAGCGU
rnacentral:rRNA from 1 species